CUAUGGCUUCAAGUCUUCGAUUUUCCCUUUAAAAUCUGAACUACUAGCUUCCUUGUCUUCUCUCUUCAUUUUUCUCUCAUUGGCUCUGAAACAACGUUACCUUUGGGCUUUCUGGAGAAGAGGCUAUCCAUGAUGUCGCUUGGAUUGCCAUUGGCUAUUGACUAAACAGGUUUUGUUUGCAUUACUGGUUUAUGGAGUUUGCUGGUUUUGUGUUUGGGAUUUGCCGGAAUGAAGAAGGUUACAAUGAGGAGGAGGAGGAAGAGAUGACAUGGAUGAGAAGGCAAUCUGAUAAUCUGAGAGAAACACAAUAACAAUAAGGUGGAUGAGAAACAUUUGACGUGGCAAGGGAGGAAGGGUGAUGUUGUCUUUAAUGUGGCAUUCCAAUCCGUAAAUAACGGUCAAAUUAUCUUUUUUAAACGGUCAAUGCUGUCAAACCCUAUCAGCAGGGUGAAAUUGUACCAAAUUAAAAAACUUUGGAAUAAAAUUAUGCCAAAAAAUAUUUUAGGA